GUUCAUCCUUGUCAUGUACUUGUUUACACAUUAUCCCUCACUAUGGUCAUUAUUAUCAUAAUAAAUUGGUUUUCAACCGGUGCACAACACCAACAACUAAGAUUUUAUCCCUGGAUGAAGAUGGACAACAUAUUUGCUUGUCUUGAAGCAAGGUGCUUGUGUGUCAUUAACUAAAUCAUGUGGCUGUCGUGGAAGCAUCAUUGAGGAUGAGCUGCAGCAUGAAAUGUGUGAGUGGUGCUUGGGUGGACGAUUCAAGUCGUAUGUGGUGUACAAAUCGGUGCAUCUUGUCUUGUAUAGAUUUUUGUAGAUGUGUAUAUGUUUGUACACCAGCGUAAACUAAGAUUUUUAAAAAAUGAGAAUUAUAUAG